AAUAGAUACCCCGGUAGUCCAUGCCGUAAACGAUGUCUACUAGCCGUUGGGGCCUUUGAGGCUUUAGUGGCGCAGCUAACGCGAUAAGUAGACCGCCUGGGGAGUACGGUCGCAAGACUAAAACUCAAAUGAAUCGACGGGGGCCCGCACAAGCGGUGGAGCAUGUGGUUUAAUUCGAUGCAACGCGAAGAACCUUACCUGGUCUUGACAUACAGAGAACUUUCCAGAGAUGGAUUGGUGCCUUCGGGAACUCUGAUACAGGUGCUGCAUGGCUGUCGUCAGCUCGUGUCGUGAGAUGUUGGGUUAAGUCCCGCAACGAGCGCAACCCUUUUCCUUAUUUGCCAGCGGGUUAAGCCGGGAACUUUAAGGAUACUGCCAGUGACAAACUGGAGGAAGGCGGGGACGACGUCAAGUCAUCAUGGCCCUUACGACCAGGGCUACACACGUGCUACAAUGGUCGGUACAAAGGGUUGCUACCUAGCGAUAGGAUGCUAAUCUCAAAAAGCCGAUCGUAGUCCGGAUUGGAGU
rnacentral:rRNA from 1 species